UUUGUCAUCUUGUCACAGAAUGCACUAAGUCUUGAACACUGGAGCAGAGUAAAAUUUAAGUUUACCAGCAGCAUCUACAAAGAGAGAGAAGAAUGUGGAUGUUAAAUAAAUAUUUAAUGCUGGGUUGAGUAACAGAAGAGAGAACAGAAGUCAUUAUAGAGAAUGGCCAACCAACUCUUGGAAAGAUGAGUGGACCAGAAGGGUAUCCUGAGAAGUUAUGCAUAGCCUUAAAGACUACAGAUAAGAUGUAAAAUCUUGAUUUAAAAAUGAGAAGCACACAGAAAUAGAAAGAAUAUGGGAAAGUACCGAGGGAAAAAAAAUCUCUUCUCUGCCUUUUUAGAAUUGCAUUGUAGUAAAAAGAACGACACACUUAUGGAUUUAUUUCUUUUCUAAUAUAUUUUCAAUUUAGCAUAAUAGGUCAUGUUUUGCACUGAAAUUAUAUUAAGAAAAUCUAAAUUCCUCAUCAAACCUAUGAAAUUAGUUGUAUACUUUUCUCAUACAUUGUCCAUAUUUUCCACAAAAUUUUGAAAAGUAUUCAUCACUCUAAAGAAGCCCUGUUUCAAAGCAGGUCUGUUGAUUAUACUCAUAUUGCAAAUAAAACUUUAAAGUGUUUCAUACGUAUAGUCACAUUUGAAAAUUCUGUAAAAUUGAUAAAGCAGUCCAGAUAUAGCUAACUACAAAUUUCAAGAGAAAAGUACAAAAAACUAUGAAAUAAAAUUAAAACUGUCUUGCCUAUGAACAGAAGUUAGUUUAUAAUGACUUAAAGCAAAAUUAGAGUUCUAUUUCCAUGUUAUUUCUACUAUACUAUAUUACUGCUCAUCAUUAAGGAUUUGAAAUAGCUCUAGAACAUACACAGUGUUAAGCAAUUGAAAAUUUACAAGUUAAUAUUUAAGUAGAGUACAAAUCAGAUGAAAUUCUAACUACAAAGUGAUACUGGGACAAGUGACCAAGUAAGUCAUUCCAGAUGCUAGGAGCUGGGAACAACUGGAAUGUUUUCAUGGAAUCUUCUUUUGAUAUCUUUAAAGUAGAUAAAAAUGUGACUUCUGGAUUAAAAAAUUAAUUUCACAUGGAGUAACAAUAUCUUGGCCAACAUCUUGGAUACAUGAGAAGGUGGUUGGAACAUAAAACACCUAACGAUCUCAGUGUCCUUUGUUGAUAAUUUAGGCAGAGUACUUUUUUAAAAGGUUGUAAAAGCAACAGUGGGUUGUGGGGGCUAGUUCAAGAUAGCAGAAUUGGAGGCUCAAACCAUAUUUCUGCCCAUUGUCUGCUUUAAAAUUAUCUUCAUAAAAGACUACAUAUUGAGUAUAGUGCAACACUGCUCAGGGAUGGGUGCAUUGAAAUUUCAGAAUUUACCACUAAAAAACUCAUCUGUGUAACCAAAAACCACCUGUACUCCAAAAACUAUUGAAAUAAAAAAAGAAUAAGAAAAUAUCUUCAAUCACUGUUAUUUUUAGCUUUAUAAAUUCCUUUGUAAUUAUGUAAAUUUCCAUAUAUAGUAAGAAGAACGCUAUGACAAUAAAAAGAUC
rnacentral:lncRNA from 10 species